rnacentral:sRNA from 1 species
GAUGCCAGGGUCGAAAAAUCUAAAAGCUGUUUGUGCUUGCACAAAAAAGCUUUUGAAUUUGACACCCGCCCCAAUAUGAGCAUAAAAGUGAAGUGUUAACUUCACGAUAUGCGAAUAUUGGGCAGGAGUGUGUGAGUGCGCAGCACGGAACACUCCGUUGGCAUC